GACGAACCGUCCUAACGUUGUUCGGAAUCACUGGGCUUAAAGGGCGCGUAGGCGGCCCAUCAAGUCCGGGGUGAAAGCCUCCAGCUUAACUGGAGAAGUGCCUCGGAUACUGGUGGGCUUGAGGGAGGUAGGGGCAGCUGGAACUUCCGGUGGAGCGGUGAAAUGCGUUGAUAUCGGAAGGAACGCCGGUGGCGAAAGCGAGCUGCUGGAUCUCUUCUGACGCUGAGGCGCGAAAGCUAGGGGAGCAAACGGG
rnacentral:rRNA from 1 species